rnacentral:tRNA from 1 species
CAAGGAAUAGUUUAUGUAGAAUUCCAGCUUUGGGUGUUGGUGGUGAGGUUU